GGUUUCCUACGGGGCGCAGCAGUGGGGAAUAUUGCACAAUGGGGGGAACCCUGAUGCAGCGACGCCGCGUGGGCGAUGGAGUAUUUCGGUAUGUAAAGCCCUAUCGGCAGGGAAGAAGCUGACAGUACCUGACUAAGAAGCCCCGGCUAACUACGUGCCAGCAGCCGCGGGAAUACGUAGGGGGCAAGCGUUAUCCGGACUCACUGGGCGUAAAGGGAGCGCAGGCGGCACGGCAAGCCUGGUGUGAAAACCCGGGGCCCAAACCCGGGGGGGCAUUGG
rnacentral:rRNA from 1 species